UGUAGCCAUAUAACCCUGACUAUGCCCAAUCUUGUCUGAUCUCAGCAACCAAACAGGUCAGGCCUGGUUAGUAUGUAGAAAGGAGAUUUCCAGCUAACUUCAAUAACAGUAAUAU
rnacentral:rRNA from 1 species